rnacentral:rRNA from 1 species
GUCUGUAUGAAGUUAUAUGGAGUCUANCCUGCCCGUUGAAAAGUUUUGAAAGGCCGCGGUAUAUUAACUGUGCAAAGGUAGCAUAAUCAUUAGUUUUUUAAUUGAAGGCUUGUAUGAAGGGUUGGACAAAGAAAAAUCUGUCUCUAUUUUUAUUUUUGAAUUUUACUUUUAAGUGAAAAGGCUUAAUUAAUUUAAAGGGACGAUAAGACCCUAUAAAUCUUUAUAUUAAUUUAUUUUUAAAUAAUUAGUUUUGUAAAAAUAAUUUAUAAAAAUAAAAAAUAUUUUGUUGGGGCGAUGAGAAUAUAUAUAUAACUGUUUUAAAUUAUAAACAAAGUUAUUUGUUAAAAUUUAAAGAUCCUUUAUAAAGAUUAUAAGUUUAAGUUACUUUAGGGAUAACAGCGUUAUUUUUUUUGAGAGUUCUUAUCGAAAAGAAAGUUUGCGACCUCGAUGUUGAAUUAAAAUAUCU